rnacentral:rRNA from 1 species
CGAGAGGACCGGAGUGGACGCAUCACUGGUGUUCGGGUUGUCAUGCCAAUGGCACUGCCCGGUAGCUAAAUGCGGAAGAGAUAAGUGCUGAAAGCAUCUAAGCACGAAACUUGCCCCGAGAUGAGUUCUCCCUGACCCUUUAAGGGUCCUGAAGGAACGUUGAAGACGACGACGUUGAUAGGCCGGGUGUGUAAGCGCAGCGAUGCGUUGAGCUAACCGGUACUAAUGAACCGUGAGGCUUAACCUUACAAC